UGACACCAAUUCAAUUACCCCAUCCGUGCCCUUUUCAGCUAAGCACUUCCUAAACUUCAUUAGUGCUGCAGCAGCGCUGCCAGCUGACACCGUGCCCUUCACCGGGAGAGUGCUGAGCGCAGGAGAGGACGAAGCUCGGUUGCGGCAAGUCACUGUGGCACUCCUGAUUCCCGAACGAGGGUGACCCGAGUCCUCCUCCCAGGCUGAGUGGAGGGUCCAGGGGGACACAAUGAAGCUGCCAGAUGCCUGCACCUACUACUAAUGUAUGGGUUUGGAUAAGAAGAUCAGAAGCUAUUUGUACAGGAAGAACAGGAAAAUGAAAGAGCAAAGCCUCCUCCAUAUGCGGUGCGUGCCAGCCCCUUAAAAGACAAGAGUGUGUCACCCUGCACAUUGCUUCUGAGUGGCAAGAAGAAUGUGGUAACUAUGCAGUGGAGAAAGCUGACCACACGCUGACCCGGUGAUCACAGUGAGCGUUAGCAGAGGGACAUCGCCCAGUGCCACUGGUGCAGUCUGCUGGCCAGGCUGCCUAACCUGAACCUAGUCAUGAAGAAACAUCAGAGGAA